GACGUAGGGCGCGAGCGUUGUCCGGAUUUAUUGGCGUAAAGAGCUCGUAGGCGGCUUGUCGCGUCUGCUGUGAAAAUCCGGGGCUCAACCCGGACUUGCAGUGGUACGGGCAGACUAGAGUGUGGUAGGGGAGACUGGAAUUCCUGGUGUAGCGGUGAAAUGCGCAGAUAUCAGGAGGAACACCGAUGGCGAAGGCAGGUCUCUGGGCCACUACUGACGCUGAGGGACGAAGCUAGGGGAGCGAAUGGG
rnacentral:rRNA from 1 species